rnacentral:lncRNA from 1 species
AGAAGAAGAGAAUAUUACCAAAGAGCGUUCUUUUCCGAUAACUAUGAUUUUUUGAAUAAGGUAGUGAAGGUCGGAUGACUUUUUGUCAAAACUCCAAAUUAUCUCCGUAGAAAUUCGUGACGAUACGUAGUCUCUACAACUAGGUAAGCACACUAAAUUUAAUUGAAGAAUUCAACAAUCAAAUGAUAAAUAUGAAAUAGAAAUCUUUAUACACAACUUAUCACCAAAGAUGGUAAUACAAGUCAUAAGCUUUACUGAGUUUGCUUGAAAAUCCCUAACUACAACUGUUCGAAAAAGAAAAUGGUACAAGUACAAUAUUAAAAGGUAACUCCGAGACAUGCGAACAUGAUGGAAGAUUUACCUUGAGUUUCCACAGUAAUGCCUGACCAGCUAGUUAACAAUCAAAAAUAACACAGGCACCUGGAUCUGCACAAAAAUGUACAGCAGCAUAGUAUGAGUACACCACAGUGGUACCCAUUGAGUAUCAAGAGUCAAGACUAACCCCGAUAAAGUAGUGAUUAGGGAAAAUAAAGACACAUACUGUACUAGACAAUCGGAACAAAUAUGAAGCUGAACUAACAGAGAGACAAUCUUAAUAUGAAGCUGAGUAGGAUAAGGAAUAUGAAACAACACUUGCAACUUAAACUUUCCAAUUUCACCGAAAUGCUUCAAAUUACCUUGCGGGCCUCAAUACUCAAUUCGGAUGCAUGCCUAAGUCCAAAAUAACCAUAUGAAGUUACUGAAAUCAUCAAAAUAUCAAUUCGGAGUCGUCUACACAAUCGUCAAAUUUCUGGUCAACUCUUACCGCUCAAGCUUCUAAUCUAAAUUGCCUGAAUCAUCCAAAAAAGUUAACUCGUCCAUACAUGUAAGUCAUAACACAUAAUACGAAUGCUCGAGACAUUAAGCCGCCAAACAGGAUGCUAGUUCUAAAAAUAACCGGUCGGGUCGUUACAUGCUCCCUCGCGUAGACAAAUAUUCAUCCUCGAACAUGCUAAGAAUCGCCCCGAAGUUAUCAAUUCACUAAAUGUUUUCACCCUAGAUACAACCACAGAUGAACCCACGUCAUCCCAAUCCACAUAGGUCCGACAACACCAACUCAGCUGAAGAUUAUUCACUCCACCCACACUAAUAGGCCUUUGAAGCGUAGAUGAUACUAGGUUGAAAUUCAGCGGCGACUGGGUGCCCUAUUCAUGAGAGAACAAUCGGGUUGCAUCGCUCCGACUAGUUUGCCAAAUCUCCUUGUAGGACCACGUCAAGAAAGUUCCGUCAAUGAACCUUAGCUUAUUUUUUACCUGCAGCGCUUGAUGUAUUGACCGGCUGCAUAAAGCAAAAUUUCUGGGCCUGUAAGAUUGAUACCAACCAACAGUAUACCAAAAACGUAUGUAGCUAGUUUUCCAACUGAUUCUCCCAGGGUUGUUGAAACCCUAGAUUUCGAAGUUCAACAUUGGUUUCCUAAUAGUCUUUAAAUCAUUUGCUCUGAUCCAGAAUCGAUCGCGCUGAUACCAUGAUUGAAUAUAUUAUUUAAUCCAUUUCAUCUUUUGAUAAGAAUCGAGAUACAGAAUUGAGAAGGUGUAAAGAGCAGGAAACGAAAGAGGAACUCAAAUCGUAUUUCUCAAUCUCUAUUCUUACUUACA